UGAGAUGGGGUCAAAUCUGCAUUCCUCACAAGUUUCCAGAUGAGCUGACGCUGCUGGUUCAGGGACCCCACUUUAAGAAUCCCAGCAUGGAAGAGAAGAAAAGAUAUAACCCUGUCUGCACCCGCUGACUCCUCCCGAGAGACUGGCAUAAGGUACAGGAAAAGUGACCGUUUCCUUCUCUGUGAAUUUCCCACGGAUUCCAAGGGGCACAGACAGACCCUGACAGGGUGAGGACCCUCUUGGCUGUCAGCUUAUUCUGAAAUUUGAAUUUCCAAUUCACCUAGAGGAAUCCAGAGGGGAAGGUUGUUAUUUAUAACCAUGGCUUCCUUCUAAGGAAAGUAGAUCCUGCUUCAUUAAAUAAAAGGCCCUUUUGUUCUUAAAAGG